rnacentral:rRNA from 1 species
GAUGAACGCUGGCGGCGUGCCUAAUACAUGCAAGUCGAGCGAACGGACGAGAAGCUUGCUUCUCUGAUGUUAGCGGCGGACGGGUGAGUAACACGUGGAUAACCUACCUAUCAGACUGGGAUAAUUUCGGGAAACCGGAGCUAAUACCGGAUGAUAUUUUGAACCGCAUGGUUCAAAAGUGGAAGACGGUCUUGCGGUCACUUAUAGAUGGAUCCGCGCUGCAUUAGCUAGUUGGUAAGGUAACGGCUUACCAAGGCAACGAUGCAUAGCCGACCUGAGAGGGGGAUCGGCCACACUGGAACUGAGCCGCGGUCCAGACUCCUACGGGAGGCAGCAGUAGGGAAUCUUCCGCAAUGGGCGAAAGCCUGACGGAGCAACGCCGCGUGAGUGAUAAAGGUCUUCGGUUCGUAAAACUCUGUUAUUAGUGAAGAACAUAUGUGUAAGUAACUGUGCACAGCUUGACGGUACCUAAUCAGAAAGCCACGGCUAACUACGUG